UACAGAGGUCUCAAGCGUUGUUCGGAUUCAUUGGGCGUAAAGGGUGCGUAGGCGGCGCGGCAAGUCGGGUGUGAAAUCUCGGGGCUUAACUCCGAAACUGCAUUCGAUACUGCCGUGCUUGAGGACUGGAGAGGAGAGUGGAAUUUACGGUGUAGCGGUGAAAUGCGUAGAUAUCGUAAGGAAGACCAGUGGCGAAGGCGGGUCUCUGGACAGUUCCUGACGCUGAGGCACGAAGGCCAGGGGAGCAAACGGG
rnacentral:rRNA from 1 species